AGAACUUUCCAGAGAUGGAUUGGUGCCUUCGGGAACUCUGAGACAGGUGCUGCAUGGCUGUCGUCAGCUCGUGUUGUGAAAUGUUGGGUUAAGUCCCGCAACGAGCGCAACCCUUAUCCCUUGUGCCAGCGGUUAGGCCGGGAACUCAAAGGAGACUGCCAGUGAUAAACUGGAGGAAGGUGGGGAUGACGUCAAGUCAUCAUGGCCCUUACGAGUAGGGCUACACACGUGCUACAAUGGCGCAUACAAAGAGAAGCGACCUCGCGAGAGCAAGCGGACCUCAUAAAGUGCGUCGUAGUCCGGAUUGGAGUCUGCAACUCGACUCCAUGAAGUCGGAAUCGCUAGUAAUCGUGGAUCAGAAUGCCACGGUGAAUACGUUCCCGGGCCUUGUACACACCGCCCGUCACACCAUGGGAGUGGGUUGCAAAGGAAGUAGGUAGCUUAACCUUCGGGAGGGCGCUUACCACUUUGUGAUUCAUGACUGGGGUGAAGUCGUAACAAGGUAAGCGUAGUGCU
rnacentral:rRNA from 1 species